rnacentral:lncRNA from 1 species
CCUCGCCCUGGAGUCUCGGCACCGUCUGGCCCCGCCGGCUGAUUACAGCCAGAGAUCGAGGGGGACCUCGCUGUCCCCCUAGAGGCCGUCAUGCGGGGUUACAGAGGCUGCGACCAAAGUCAUUCCUAGCUCCUCUCUCGGGGCUCCGGAAAGCCGUCCGCGCCUCCAGCCGCACUUUCAGCGCACGCAGGACCUGCCGCGCCCGGUGGCCACACCCGUCCCUCUGCCGGGUGACGCUGCGGGAGAUCUUGCGCCCUGGGGCUCCGGAUCCAGUUCUGUCAUGCACUUGGGUGAAAACAGACUGAAGAGUCACGGGAACCAGCUUGUCUCCCCAGUUAUGGCGCAGAGCUGCAAGGAUGGCUGUGGGUCAUUAAUUUCUCCGUGGCUGACCUGUGUUUGUAACGCCGCAGCUGUUGCGAGGGGGAAGGACACUGCUUCGGAUUCAAAUUCUGACUCCUUGCUGCAGUGUGUCACCUUGAGCCAGUCCCAGAUCUCUGCGUUCUCACAAUUGUAAAAUGUUAACAGAGGCUGCCUACCUUGUGGCUGGAAUUAAAUGAAUUAACGUGUGUG